rnacentral:lncRNA from 1 species
CUCAGAAGUGUAAGAGGAGAUGCUUGCCUCAGAUCAAUAGCUCAUCGACGUAUGUUUGGGCCUGCAAUGAAUCCUCCCAGAGUGCUCAGGUCUCAAGACUUGAGAUAGAUGGUCAUAGGGACCAGAGGUGUCUGGGCCCUUGCUCGCAAGUGCAUCUAACUACUUCUGUAAUGGUAAAUUUAAAUAAAAUAUCAUAAGAAAUGCUAUAAUAUUAAUCAUACUAAUCAUACUCCAAUUA